GAGAAGGGCCUAGCUGCAAGGUGCUGAGCAGGACACCCAGCUUGGAGCAGGGCUAGGGAAGGGCUAGAGGAGCUGGGACCUCUGGCCUGGAAAGCCUCAGGCUGAAUAGGUGCAGGGUUGUAGAGGGGGAGCCCAUAGGUAGGCAGAGGUAGCAGGUCCAAAACCCCCUUGUCGGUGAUGAAUGGUGUCUACACUGCAGUCUGCCCCUAAUAUAAGGGGCUAAGUGGGGACUGGCAGUAUCCCAGACUGAGGUGAGGUGGGGGUUCCCCUGGGUGGGGGAGACCCAGAAUGUGAGAGUGUUGGGGGUACUGCCAGGGGAACAGCACCCCAGAAAAAGGGGCACCGGGUCCUGGGAGGGACUGGCCUGCAGAGGGCGCUCCAGUGGCUGGAUGAGCUAAUUCCCAAAGACUACCAGCAGAAUUGCUGCAGGGAUGCAACAGGACAAGCCUUGCUAAACUCAUUGUUACCCUGGUGGCUCUGAAGGAUUGUAGCAGCACAGCUUCUUUGGAGGAUAUCAACAUUCACUUGGUACCAUGCUGAGUGCUGCAUGAAAGAAAAUUUCAGAGGAAAAAAAUUACAAGACAAAGGAAAACAGUAACACAUGUGUUUGAACUAAAGUUAGUGGAUAUCAUUGUUCAAAACAUAGUGUCACCCCAAAAUUGAUUCAGAAAUCGGUUGAAACAAUAUCCCAGGAAAAAAAGUGAAUAUAGGCAGGCAGUGCAAAAUAGUAGCACAGAUUGUAUAGCUGUUAUUCCAUAUCAAGAAGUAAAUGUAAAACAUGACAUCUUAUACUUCUCAAGUUACUGUGGGUGUUGAAGAAAGUGUGUGUGUGUAAGGGAUAUCAGUUCCACUUUAUUGAAAGUAUUUUUAAAAAAAACUUACGAGAUUUAAUGAUAGGAAAUUUGUGCAGAAAGCAUGGAACAAAUUAUACCAUUUGCUUAAACUAUACAUUAAAAUGUACAAAAUACUUUUUUUUUUAAAACAGCUAUGUCAUGACUCACUGGCUUUAGGGAAUUUUCUGGGGGCAAUAGGCACAUACUACAAUCAGUAAAUUGUUUUUGAAGAGA